AUUGAACGCUGGCGGCAGGCCUAACACAUGCAAGUCGAACGAGUGGCGGACGGGUGAGUAAUGUCUGGGAAACUGCCUGAUGGCGGGGGAUAACUACUGGAAACGGUAGCUAAUACCGCAUACCAUCGGAUGUGCCCAGAUGGGAUUAGCUAGUAGGUGGGGUAAAGGCUCACCUAGGCGACGAGCCCUAGCUGGUCUGAGAGGAUGACCAGCCAAACUUGAACGUAGACACGGGCCCGAUGCCUACGGGAGGCAGCAGUGGGGAAUAUUGCACAGUGGUCCCAAUCCUGAUUCAGCCAUGCCGCGUGUAUGAAGAAGGCCUUCGGGUUGUAAAGUACUUUCAGCGGGGAGGCGUUACCCGCAGAAGAAGCACCGGCUAACUCCGUGCCAGCAGCCGCGGUAAUUC
rnacentral:rRNA from 1 species